GUGAGCCCGCGGGCGCCAGGGGACAACGGGCGGGCAACGAGCUGCGGGCGCAGGUUGCAGAUCGCGCAGCCGGCUGGGCUUUACACGGUUCGUGCCCUGCUCCACGGCUUCCCGCGCACGCCAACCCUGCAAGGUAGUCCUCGACUUACAACAGUUCGUUUAGUGACCGUUCAAAGUUCAAAGAGUCCUGAAAAACAUGGCUGAUGAUCGUUUUUUCACCCUUACGACGGUGGCCGCAUCCCCAGGGUCACAUGACCAAAAUUCAGAUACUUGGCGACUGACUCAUGCUUACGACAGUCAAGCGUCCCAAGGUCACGUGAUCCCCUUUCGCAACCUUCUGACAAUGGGGAAGCCACGAUUCACUUAACAACCGUGUGACUCACUGAACAACUGCAGGGAUCCACUUAACCAACGGUGGCAAGAGAGGUCGCGACAAUGGGGCAAAAACUUCACUGAACAUACGUCUCACAUAGCAACGAAAAUUUGGGGCUCGAGUCGUAAGUUUGAGGAGUUCCGAUACCCCGCCCCAUCUUUCAGACUAAGGCUGUGAAUUGUGUUUUGUAUUUCUGUAGUAUUUUAUUGAUAUUGGUUUUUAUCUUGAUAUAGUAAACGGCUCUGCGUUACCUUGUUAGGUCAGCAGGGGGCGCUUUCCAGACUGAAAGGGGUCUUAAAGCCAGGAAUUCCAACUCUGUCCAACCGGCCCUCCCCCCCCGAAGUUGGUUGGGCACAUUCCUGCCCCCCCAACCCACAUCUCCAGCCUUUCGGCCCCCCAAAAAGAUGAUUUGGGGAUCUCUUGGAAGCAGCCUUUCCAAAGAUGAAGCAUUGGACUGCAAGGACCAUCCUCCCCAGCCGACAUCGCAGGAGGGAAGCUGAAGACCAGCCAAUCCCUCUGCAUGGUGGCUGAUGGUGAAGUUUGGUCCGCAGCCCUAGUAGGACUACAAUUCCAACGAUGCUGAUCCUUGGCAAGCCUGGGUGGGGAACAUAACCAUUGUAGUCCACCCUCCCUGGGAAGGGAGCAGAAACAAACAUUAAGGCAGCGAGGGGAUAAUGUAUUUUAAGACCUCCUCUCUAUUCCUUGGCCUGGGAAUCCAAUAAAGGCUGGACUACAACUCCCAUCAGCCCCAGCUGACUGCCCUCUUGGCUUUUUUGACCCCACUGUGCGGCACGUUGACGGAGACGAUCAAUACAUGUGCUUAAAUAAAUAAAUACUUACGUUGAAUGUAUAAACCUUUUAAGAAAACACGUUUUAUGUUGAACGGAUGUUUAACACCAAAAAAAUUGGUUUAUGUUGAAUGAAUUUAUGAUGUUUCGAUAAAUAAAUGUUUACGUUAAAUGGAUAACUAUUUAAUAAAUCAUUGUGCUGUAGCUGCCAUGUUUAGGAUAUUCUGUUGCGGAUUUUUAAAAUGUUUUCAGCCGCCUGGAGUCGCUUGUGGGCAAGUUGGGAAGCCGUAUAAAUUUGCUUUCCUAAAAUAAAAUUGCCUUUCAUA